AUGAAUUUAAUGCCAGCAAGUGGCCUGCUGCAGCUCUGCGACCAGGUGGAGGGACCAGCAUCGACGUGUACAGCAGGAAGGGUUGUUGAACAGAUCCCUUUUACGUUACCUGUACUACGUGAAGAGGUUUGCAUCCAACCCAGCAGCCAGCUCUUCACACUUACACACAGGCAGGUGAGUUUGAACCAAAUUGGUUUGUAUAAAUAGUACCUUGCUUUUUCAAAAACCUCAAAGUCCCCAGAGAUGCAUAACCAAAGUUGUAGAGGACUCUACCCGUAACCUAGCUCCGGCUUGCCCUUUGUCCCAAACUCCUCCAGCUCUGGCACUAGGUUUGUGUGGGUAGGAACUGCCUAUUUUUAAUGCUCACUCUGAAUUGUGUGGUUUGAGGGGUGGAAAUUCUGUCUCCGUACCAGGCAUCCUUCAUUUCUCUUAGUUCCCACCCUGGUCUCAUAAUAAAAUAAUGUCGAUUGUGCUUAUAUUCA
rnacentral:lncRNA from 1 species